rnacentral:rRNA from 1 species
UUCCAGACUCCUACGGGAGGCAGCAGUGAGGAAUAUUGGUCAAUGGGCUUACGCCUGAACCAGCCAAGUCGCGUGAGGGAAGACUGCCCUAUGGAUUGUAAACCUCUUUUGCCGGGGAGCAAAAAGCGGUACGUGUACCGCAUCGAGAGUACCCGGAGAAAAAGCAUCGGCUAACUCCGUGCCAGCAGCCGCGGUAAUACGGAGGAUGCGAGCGUUAUCCGGAUUUAUUGGGUUUAAAGGGUGCGCAGGCGGAAGAUCAAGUCAGGGGUAAAAUUGAGGGGCUCAACCUCUGCGAGCCGUUGAAACUGGUUUUCUUGAGUGAGCGAGAAGUAUGCGGAAUGCGUGGUGUAGCGGUGAAAUGCAUAGAUAUCACGCAGAACUCCGAUUGCGAAGGCAGCAUACCGGCGCUCAACUGACGCUCAUGCACGAAAGUGUGGGUAUCGAACAGGAUUAGAUACCCUGGUACG